CCGCUGCCCGAGUCCCUCUUGAAAUGGGCAGGGCAGGGAGGGCGUGGGUACCAGCGCAGGUGCUGGGGUUCAUUUCUUAGGCCUGUGUCAUGGCUAUGACCCUUGGCCGGCUGGGGUGGGGGCUGUGUCUAUGACGCCACCAAGGCCCUGGGUGUCCCCGGGGUCCCUCGGAAUAGGAGGUGGAAACGGGUCGGACAAGAGCUGGCCGUGGGGGAAGAGCAAUGGUGUGCGGAGGUGGGGGAGGCCCUAUCUAGGGACAAGCAGAAAACUUAGGGUGGGCAGAUCCCCCCGACCCCUGUGCAGGGGCUGCCGGAGACCAGAGAGGCUGCUGUGUGACCUGGACCAAGCCCCUUGCCCUCUCAUGCCUCAGUUUCCCCUUCUCUCCACGGAGGGAUUGAGCAGGACAUGGAGGGCCCCUUCCAGUAGCCAUUCUGGGACUCCCUGCACCUGUCCCCAGGGGAGGGUCCUGAGCUGGCCUCCACGUGGCUGCUGUUCCCCAUAGUGGAACCUUGUGUGUGGAGACGGCUGGAAGGUCCCGCUGGAGCAGGGUUCAGCUAGACCUGGUGCUGCCAGGAUGAAGGUUGGACCCUGGGUUAUCCUGACCCUGUCCAAGCAUGUCCCCCGCUGCCCACCAGGUUUGGACGCCGGGCAGUUUUUGUGGCCUCCCUGGUGCUGACCACAGGCCUGGGGGCCAGUGAGGCCCUGGCUGCCAGCUUCCCUACCCUGCUGGUCCUGCGCCUACUCCACGGGGGCACAUUGGCAGGGGCCCUCCUCGCCCUGUAUCUGGCUCG
rnacentral:lncRNA from 1 species